AAGAUGAAGUAUAGGGGCUGACGCCUGCCCAGUGCUGGAAGGUUAAAAGGAGGACUUAGCUUCGGCGAAGGUCUUAAUUGAAGCCCCAGUGAACGGCGGCCGUAACUAUAACGGUCCUAAGGUAGCGAAAUUCCUUGUCGGGUAAGUUCCGACCCGCAUGAAAGGCGUAAUGAUUUGGGCGCUGUCUCAACAAUAGACUCGGUGAAAUUUAAAUUCCAGUGAAGAUGCUGGGUACCCGCGACAGGACGGAAAGACCCCGUGGAGCUUUACUGUAGCUUGAUAUUGAAUGUUUGUGCUGCAUGUGCAGGAUAGGUAGGAGACUUUGAAGUCGGAACGCUAGUUUCGAUUGAGUCACCCUUGAGAUACUACCUCUGUUGUAUGAACGUUCUAACUCUGAUCAGUUAUCCUGAUCGAAGACAGUGUCUGGCAGGCAGUUUGACUGGGGCGGUCGCCUCCUAAAAGAUAACGGAGGCGCUCAAAGGUUUGCUCAGAAUGGUUGGAAAUCAUUCGUAGCGUGUAAAGGCAUAAGCAAGCUUGACUGUGAGACUGACAAGUCGAGCAGGUACGAAAGUAGGACUUAGUGAUCCGGUGGUUCCGUAUGGAAGGGCCAUCGCUCAACGGACAAAAGCUACCCCGGGGAUAACAGGCUCAUCUCCCCCAAGAGUCCACAUCGACGGGGAGGUUUGGCACCUCGAUGUCGGCUCAUCGCAUCCUGGGGCUGUAGUCGGUCCCAAGGGUUGGGCUGUUCGCCCAUUAAAGCGGUACGCGAGCUGGGUUCAGAACGUCGUGAGACAGUUCGGUCCCUAUCCGUCGUGGGCGCAGGAAAUUUGAGAGGAUCUGUCCUUAGUACGAGAGGACCGGGAUGGACAUACCUCUGGUGUACCAGUUGUUCUGCCAAGAGCACCGCUGGGUAGCUACGUAUGGAUUAGAUAAUCGCUGAAAGCAUCUAAGUGAGAAACUAACCUCGAGAUGAGAUUUCCCAUUCGUCAGAAGUAAGACCCCUGAGAGACGAUCAGGUAGAUAGGCUAGAAGUGGAAGUGUAGUGAUGCAUGGAGCGGACUAGUACUAAUAGGUCGAGGACUUAACCAAG
rnacentral:rRNA from 1 species